UUUCUACCAUGAUGCAUUGCCCCAUGUUCAAAGCUACAGCAGCAACCAGUCACACAGACUGAAACUUCUAAAAGCACGAACCGGCACAGAUCAUCUCUUUUUACCGAGCAUCUGAGGUAUUUGUUCCGUAAUGGACUGCUGACUGACAUCACACUAGUGCUGAAGUUGGGAAUCUCUGUCUACUCGGCGUGGUUUCUUGCCCUGGAGAAGACAGCCAAGAAGAAAGCUAAAAUCUGGGUGGUACGAAGAAGGACCCCUAACAAAAGAAGAGACAUCUUCCUGAGCCACAUCUAAUAUGCCAGAAAAAUAAAAUCUGAUUUCUCUCCCUGAAGCACUCUCUUUCAUCUUGUAGGAAGUAAGGAUUGAGCCAGCUCCUCAAGAUCCUCAGAGCAUGUGCAUUUGAACGUUUUUAACAAAGAUGAAGAGUAGCCUCUGGGCUCAGGCCUGGAGGGGAAGUAGUUUGCUACUUCUUGGUUACAUCUGCCUGGUGCAUGAAGAAAAAUUCUCAAGACACUGCCACUGUCACUGUUAGAUCUUUUAUCCUGACCCCUCUUUUUGCUGUAGACGGUGGUGAGAGGCAUCAUGGGCCAUAAAGGUAUGGACAUAAGCGAAUAGGUUCUCACAUGCUCACAAUUAGCUUCACACCUAUGGAGACAACUACUUGGCCACAAGUGCCUUAAGAAUGUAUU
rnacentral:lncRNA from 1 species